rnacentral:rRNA from 1 species
AGAGUUUGAUCCUGGCUCAGAUUGAACGCUGGCGGCAGGCUUAACACAUGCAAGUCGAGCGGUAACAGAGAGUAGCUUGCUACUUUGCUGACGAGCGGCGGACGGGUGAGUAAUGCUUGGGAAUAUGCCUUUAGGUGGGGGACAACAGUUGGAAACGACUGCUAAUACCGCAUAAUGUCUACGGACCAAAGGGGGGUGGACCUCUCGCCUAUAGAUUAGCCCAAGUGAGAUUAGCUAGUUGGUGAGGUAAUGGCUCACCAAGGCGACGAUCUCUAGCUGGUUUGAGAGGAUGAUCAGCCACACUGGGACUGAGACACGGCCCAGACUCCUACGGGAGGCAGCAGUGGGGAAUAUUGCACAAUGGACGAAAGUCUGAUGCAGCAAUGCCGCGUGUGUGAAGAAGGCCUUAGGGUUGUAAAGCACUUUCAGUAGGGAGGAAAAGUAAGUAGUUAAUAACUACUUACCCUGACGUUACCUACAGAAGAAGCACCGGCUAACUCCGUGCCAGCAGCCGCGGUAAUACGUAGGUCACAAACGUUGUCCGGAAUUAUUGGGCGUAAAGGGUCCGUAGGCGGUUCGGUAAGUCUCCUGUGAAAUCUUCAGGCUCAACUUGAAGAGGUCGGGGGAUACUGCUGAACUUGAGACAGACAGAGGCAAGUGGAAUUCCCGGUGUAGUGGUGAAAUGCGUAGAUAUCGGGAGGAACACCAGUGGCGAAAGCGGCUUGCUGGGUCUGUUCUGACGCUGAGGGACGAAAGCGUGGGUAGCAAACCGGAUUAGAUACCCGGGUAGUCCACGCCGUAAACGAUGAAUACUAGACGUCCGGAGGGUUCGACCCUUUUCGGUGCCGUAGCUAACGCAUUAAGUGCCCCGCCUGGGGAGUACGGCCGCAAGGCUAAAACUCAAAGGAAUUGACGGGGGUCCGCACAAGCGGCGGAGCAUGUUGCUUAAUUCGAGGCAACGCGAAUAACCUUACCUGGGCUUGACAUGCAGGGAAAAGCCGUAGAGAUACGGUGUCCUUAUGGGCCUUGCACAGGUGGUGCAUGGCUGUCGUCAGCUCGUGUCGUGAGAUGUUGGGUUAAGUCCCGCAACGAGCGCAACCCUUGUCCUAUGUUGCCAGCGGGUAAUGCCGGGGACUCGUAGGAGACUGCCGGGGUCAACUCGGAGGAAGGUGGGGACGACGUCAAGUCAUCAUGCCCCUUAUGUCCAGGGCUGCAAACAUGCUACAAUGGCCGGUACAAAGGGCUGCUAUACCGCGAGGUUGAGCGAAUCCCAGAAAGCCGGUCUCAGUUCGGAUUGGAGUCUGCAACUCGACUCCAUGAAGUCGGAGUCGCUAGUAAUCCCGGAUCAGCAACGCCGGGGUGAAUACGUUCCCGGGCCUUGUACACACCGCCCGUCACACCACGAAAGUCGGCAACACCCGAAGCCAGUGGUCCAACCCUUUGGGGAGGAAGCUGUCGAAGGUGGGGUUGGCGAUUGGGGUGAAGUCGUAACAAGGUAACC